GUAUUUGUUUUGUUCGAAACAAAUUAAGUCUCAGCCCAUAUCAUGCUUUAUCUCUCGCGUGAAUCUCUCUCUCUCUCCGUUUCAUCUUCCGGCGAUCAAACAUGGUGGCAAAAAAAACGGUCACGCCUUCUACACAAAACCAAUCCAGUUCAAAGACAUACCAAACGCCACCGUCUCUUCCGUCUCCACCACCUUCGUCUUCGCCAUAUACUCCCAGAUCCCCACUCUAAGCGGCCAUGGAAUCGUCUUCGUCGUCUCUCCAUCCCAUAGCCUCACUUCCGCACUCCCAAUCAAGUCAAUACAUCGGUCUCUUCAACAACUCAAACAACGGUAACGAAACGAACCACGUCUUCACUGUCGAGUUCGACACGAUCCAAAGCAACGAGUUCGGAGAUCCGAACGAUAACCACGACGGAAUCGAUAUAAACGGUUUAAGAUCGUUUGAGUACUCAGCCGCUGAGUACUGGAACGAGAGAGAUGCAAGGUUUUGGUGUUGGACACAUGCGUGAUACCAAAACAAAAGAAUAUUUGCUCGAGCAACGGUGAUGACUUCAGUGCUGAUUAAUAAUCUGCCUGAAACUGUAAGUUGACCUGCCUCGGUCUUUUUCUUAUGGUUCUAAAAACAGUAUACUUAUGACCCAAGAAUGUAGAACCUGGUAUCCAAUGAUCUAUAUGUACUUCAUCAGAGUAUGUAUCCGACUUAUGAAUAAACAUAAUUUAGCUAUUUAUUUUGUCUUAUUUAUCUUCCCUGCAGCUAAUUGUGGCUUUGAGAAUUCAUUUUCUAUUUUAAAUGCUUUUUAAACUGGUGUUUGAUGAUUAUCUGUCUCACAUUGUUUUUGUUUCU